CAGAAAGUGGUUUAAUGAAAAAUACCAGCUUUGGGAGUUGGAGAUGGAGAUUUGAGUUCUCUCUUUCUGA
rnacentral:tRNA from 1 species